UGCAUGCCAAAUCUAAGAUAACCAGGCUAACUGGAGCACAACGAGGAGAAACACCUAAUGCAGAACAAUGUGGAGGAAAACUGUAAAACCAAGGUGGUUAAAAAGAGAGAGACGUGAAGGAGAGGACAGAGAGGGAGUCACGACUGAAUGAGAGAUGGGCGGUGGGUAUCUCCUGGAAACCCCAAAGUGACACCAGAUCCAGCCACGCCCUCCUGCCCUGCAGUAACCAUCACCUGACCACCUGCUCACCUGCUCCCCGUUGUCCUGAUUAGUCUUGCAGUAGUCUAUAUAUACCGGUCCAUUUCCACUCUACUGCUUUUGGGUUAAUGCUUGCUGUUUGUCUGAGCCAUUUAGGCUCAAAACACACUCUAAAAGACUGGUGAUCAUGCAGGACUUUAGUUAGUUUAGUUAGUCAUUUCAGUUUAAAUACUGUGGUUUAAUGUUGCACAUUUCCAAACAAAUGAAUUAAAUUAGGCCUAUACCAUAAACCAUCUGAUACACAGUGAAUAUAGGGUCUGGGGUCCUGCACCAUUUGAAGAACAUUGUAAUACUUUCAAAAUAAA